AAGACUAUACUUUCAGGGAUCAUUUCUAUAGCUUGUUACUACAGAAGUUUCUCUGGACAUGUGGAGCACCAGAAACCAUGAGGAGGAGAUGUAGUGUUCUCUCCCAAGCAUGAAGCUGGCUCUUGGUGUUACUUUGCUGUACCUGCCAUUUGCCAUUGACAGUCAUUCUUCUCUUCCUCUGGGAGAGUAAGGAGGAGAGGACACAGUCUGAGUGGUU
ensembl:snoRNA